GAUGAACGCUGGCGGCGUGCCUAAUACAUGCAAGUCGAGCGAAUGGAUUAAGAGCUUGCUCUUAUGAAGUUAGCGGCGGACGGGUGAGUAACACGUGGGUAACCUGCCCAUAAGACUGGGAUAACUCCGGGAAACCGGGGCUAAUACCGGAUAACAUUUUGAACCGCAUGGUUCGAAAUUGAAAGGCGGCUUCGGCUGUAACUUAUGGAUGGACCCGCGUCGCAUUAGCUAGUUGGUGAGGUAACGGCUCACCAAGGCAACGAUGCGUAGCCGACCUGAGAGGGUGAUCGGCCACACUGGGACUGAGACACGGCCCAGACUCCUACGGAAGGCAGCAGUAGGGAAUCUUCCGCAAUGGACGAAAGUCUGACGGAGCAACGCCGCGUGAGUGAUGAAGGCUUUCGGGUCGUAAAACUCUGUUGUUAGGGAAGAACAAGUGCUAGUUGAAUAAGCUGGCACCUUGACGGUACCUAACCAGAAAGCCACGGCUAACUACGUGCCAGCCGCCGCGGUAA
rnacentral:rRNA from 1 species